rnacentral:rRNA from 1 species
GGAGGGUGCAAGCAUUAAUCGGAUUUAUUGGGCGUAAAGGGCGUCUAGGUGGGGUUGUCAGUCAGGCGUGAAAUCCCGGAGCUCAACUCCGGAACUGCGCUUGAAACUACAGCUCUUGAGGGUAGGCGGGGUCAACGGAAUUCCACGUGUAGCGGUGAAAUGCGUAGAUAUGUGGAAGAACACCGGUGGCGAAGGCGGUUGACUAGCUUAUACCUGACACUGAAGCGCGAAAGCAAGGGGAGCAAACAGGAUUAGAUACCCUGGUAGUCCUUGCCGUAAACGAUGCAUACUAGAUGUAACCGGAAUCAACCCUGGUUGUGUCGUAGCUAACGCGUUAAGUAUGCCGCCUGGGGAGUACGCUCGCAAGGGUG